UACAGAGGGGGCAAGCGUUGUCCGGAAUUACUGGGCGUAAAGCGCACGUAGGCGGCUUUCUAAGUCGGGGGUGAAAUCCUGGAGCUCAACUCCAGAACUGCCUUCGAUACUGGAGAGCUUGAGUCCGGGAGAGGUGAGUGGGACUGCGAGUGUAGAGGUGAAAUUCGUAGAUAUUCGCAAGAACACCAGUGGCGAAGGCGGCUCACUGGCCCGGUACUGACGCUGAGGUGCGAAAGCGUGGGGAGCAAACAGG
rnacentral:rRNA from 1 species